UACGGGGGGGGGCAAGCGUUGUUCGGAAUUACUGGGCGUAAAGCGCAUGUAGGCGGCAGCGCAAGUCGGGCGUGAAAUCCCACGGCUCAACCCGUGGAAGUGCACUCGAAAACUGCGCAGCUAGAGUCCUGGAGAGGAAGGUGGAAUGCUUGGUGUAGAGGUGAAAUUCGUAGAUAUCAAGCGGAACACCGGUGGCGAAGGCGGCCUUACUGGGACA
rnacentral:rRNA from 1 species